rnacentral:rRNA from 1 species
AGAGUUUGAUCAUGGCUCAGAGCGAACGCUGGCGGCAGGCCUAAUACAUGCAAGUCGAGCGCCGUAGCAAUACGGAGCGGCAGACGGGAGAGUAACACGUGGGAACGUACCCUUCAGUUCGGAACAACCCAGGGAAACUUGGGCUAAUACCGGAUACGUCCGUAAGGAGAAAGAUUUAUCGCUGAAGGAUCGGCCCGCGUCUGAUUAGCUUGUUGGUGAGGUAACGGCUCACCAAGGCGACGAUCAGUAGCUGGUCUGAGAGGAUGAUCAGCCUCACUGGGACUGAGACACGGCCCAGACUCCUACGGGAGGCAGCAGUAGGGAAUAUUGGACAAUGGGCGCAAGCCUGAUCCAGCCAUGCCGCGUGGAUGAUGAAGGCCCUAGGGUUGUAAAGUCCUUUCGGCGGGGAAGAUAAUGACGGUACCCGCAGAAGAAGCCCCGGCUAACUUCGUGCCAGCAGCCGCGGUAAUACGAAGGGGGCUAGCGUUGCUCGGAAUCACUGGGCGUAAAGCGCACGUAGGCGGCUUUUUAAGUCAGGGGUGAAAUCCUGGAGCUCAACUCCAGAACUGCCUUUGAUACUGAGAAGCUUGAGUCCGGGAGAGGUGAGUGGAACUGCGAGUGUAGAGGUGAAAUUCGUAGAUAUUCGCAAGAACACCAGUGGCGAAGGCGGCUCACUGGCCCGGUACUGACGCUGAGGUGCGAAAGCGUGGGGAGCAAACAGGAUUAGAUACCCCGGUAGUCC